rnacentral:rRNA from 1 species
UCAUUGCUGGAACAAACGCCCUCACGGGCGCUACCCAGAAACCCUUUGUGAACUAUACUUAAUCGUUGCCUCGGCAUUGGUUGACUUUGAAUAAAGUCCCUGUAGGCCCUUCUGGGGCUUUCAGGAGCAGACCGGCCGACGGCCCCUAUAAACUCUUGUUUUUUGUAAUAUCUUCUGAGUAAACAACUAAAAUGAAUCAAAACUUUCGCCCUCACGGGCGCUACCCAGAAACCCUUUGUGAACUAUACUUAAUCGUUGCCUCGGCAUUGGUUGACUUUGAAUAAAGUCCCUGUAGGCCCUUCUGGGGCUUUCAGGAGCAGACCGGCCGACGGCCCCUAUAAACUCUUGUUUUUUGUAAUAUCUUCUGAGUAAACAACUAAAAUGAAUCAAAACUUUCAACAACGGAUCUCUUGGUUCUGGCAUCGAUGAAGAACGCAGCGAAAUGCGAUAAGUAAUGUGAAUUGCAGAAUUCAGUGAAUCAUCGAAUCUUUGAACGCACAUUGCGCCCGGUGGUAUUCCACCGGGCAUGCCUGUUCGAGCGUCAUUUCAACCCUCAAAAGCUUGCUUUUGGUGUUGGAGGAAUACCUGUAAAAGGGUACCCUCUGAAAUUUAGUGGCGGGCUCGCUAGAAUUUUGAGCGUAGUAAUUUUACCUCGUUUUUAAAGACUAGUGGGACUUCUUGCCGUAAAACCCCCCAACUUUCUGA